UAUCGUGAUAGAAUAGUCGUUCCUACU
rnacentral:piRNA from 1 species